UACGUAGGGGGCAAGCGUUAUCCGGAUUUACUGGGUGUAAAGGGAGCGUAGACGGCUGUGCAAGCCAGAUGUGAAAGCCCGGGGCUCAACCCCGGGACUGCAUUUGGAACUGUGUAGCUGGAGUGUCGGAGAGGCAGGCGGAAUUCCUAGUGUAGCGGUGAAAUGCGUAGAUAUUAGGAGGAACACCAGUGGCGAAGGCGGCCUGCUGGACGAUGACUGAUGUUGAGGCUCGAAAGCGUGGGGAGCAAACAGG
rnacentral:rRNA from 1 species